AUACUUACCUGGUAGGGGAGACACCAUGAUCAGGCAGGUGGUUUUUCCAAGGCAAGGCUCAUGCCCUACACUAUUUUUUUUUAAGGUUAUAGACCAGAUUCUCCUGGAAGAUACUUCAAAACCUAUGGAAGACUGGGAGGUGAUUAUAUAAAGCCUUUA
rnacentral:snRNA from 10 species